rnacentral:rRNA from 1 species
UACGGGGGGAGCAAGCGUUGUUCGGAUUUACUGGGCGUAAAGGGCGCGUAGGCGGCCAGCACAAGUCAGUUGUGAAAUCUCCGGGCUUAACUCGGAAAGGUCAACUGAUACUGUGCGGCUAGAGUGCAGAAGGGGCAACUGGAAUUCUCGGUGUAGCGGUGAAAUGCGUAGAUAUCGAGAGGAACACCUGCGGCGAAGGCGGGUUGCUGGGCUGACACUGACGCUGACGCGCGAAAGCCAGGGGAGCGAACGGG